rnacentral:lncRNA from 1 species
GUCCUCUUCUGGAUCAACCAUCUGGUGAUCCAUACACAAUGGUAGCUACUUGUUCCUUCAACUUCUUCAAUUUGUCAUGGACAAAAGGUGCUACAUAGAUCCACUUUAAGCCUUGAAGCCCUACCCUGGAUUCUUGACCUUUAUUUGUGGUAUCUGUAGGCUUGCUCACACUUUUUAUGUUAGUAACCUACCCUGGAUUCUUGACCUUUAUUUGUGGUAUCUGUAGGCUUGCUCACACUUUUUUUUUAUGUUAGUUCUAAUAUGAAUGUCUCACUGAGUUCCUUUUUUUGUUAGGCCUUCUCUAAGCUCAGCAUGCUUGCGGAGCAAAGGGGUGAUGCUUAUGCAAAUGCGGAU